GUGGGCGAAGCCCGGGGGGCUCGGGGGCGGACGGGAGGGAACGCUCGCUCUGGCCCUUUAAAUGUGGCCGCGGCUCCUGCCGAUUCAUUCGGGCCGGGUGGACGAACUACGCCCUGGUGCAGGCAGCCUGCCCAACUCAUGAAGUUCAUUCCUCUGGGCAGACUUUUCUUUUUCAGACUUUCAACAAAUGGGCAAGCAUGGAUCGAGAUUAGGAUCCAGGGCAGGGUGUUUGGGAGAACGCAUGCAUGUGGGGAGACCUGCUGUGAAACUGACCAGAAAAACAAAAUGUUUCUAGUCAAGGUACUUUGAGAUGUGCCUUUUGAGCCGAUUUCCUAAGAGGGUGAGGCAUCGGGUAAAGGGGAGAUGCUCCGACGGGAGCGUCCGUGUCACUGUUGUUGUCAUUGUCACCUCUUUCCCGAGCCUUCUGCGCUCUCGAGCCCCCGGAGUGAACGCUCUUCAGCUGUCGCAGCUGCCCUUUCCAGACCUAAUAUUUGUGAUCAGUGUGUGCUUCUGACUUGAGUGGCAACGGGACCCAACUUUUCCUUUCGCCCAGCCCGGAGCCCUACUUACUCCGGCUCCCGAAGUUUCUCCCCCAGUCGAGGAAACCAGCCCUCGGUCUGCACCGACCCCAACCCCGGCCUCCGGGCGGGACUCCACGGCGACCUUCCCCGGCGCGCGGGUCCCCAGGCCAAGCUCUGCGCUACGGGCACCCAGGGCGGAGGGCAUGCGGCUCCGCGGCGCCCCGGCGAGCGGGGCGGGGCGAGCGGGGGCGGGGCCCGGAGGGGCCAAUCAGCGGGCGAGGCUGCGGCCGUGCCGCGAUUGGUCCGCCCCGCGGGCUCCAACCUGCUCUGCCCGCUCGGUCCUUUGAGCCACUGCAUCCCCUAGCGGCGCCCUGGUGGCUGCAGCCGCUGGACCGAAAACGCUGCCCGGGCGAGCAGGGGUCAGGCGGGAAAAGAAGACUCCAAAUCCACUCUCUCUUCGCCCCAGGGCAAUGCUGGGAGGAGAGGGAGUGGGUGCUCCCGCAGGCUAUCCCAGGGACGGGGCAGAGAGCUUAAUUGGGGGUUUUAUUUGAAUUGGAGACAUAGUUCCCUCUUCGAUCCUCUACCCCAUAAAAUUCCCUACAAAUGCAAAAAUUCGAGAUAGAAGAAAGUCCCUGAAAGUAAGUUCUGAAGGAUUCCUUUCAUGCGGUGAAGGAAAACUAUCAAUAUGCAGCUUCAACUUGGUGUGUGGGGGUUGUCGUGUUUUAAAACACGAUCCCUGUAGAAAUAUUAGUAAAACAUAUUGGAAGCAGUAGUGGAAACGUGGGUCUUCCUGGUCUUGCGUUUGGAUCUUCUUUGGAGUCACCUUCUUAAAUGUGAUGUUUGUUUGAAAUCAGAGCUGAAUUUUCAUAUACAGGACAAAAAGAAAGAACCCCAAUUUUUUUAAAGACAGCUCUCCCCCCACGUUUCUCCUGAGCCCACUUGGCCUCCCGUUAUUAGGAGGCCCAGUUAAGAGGCAUCGAUUUUCCUUUCGCUCUCUCACCACUCUCCUCUCCUGGGCGAGCCAAGCUGCCCACAUCUUCUGCUCACAGCGCUCUCUAAACCUUUUAAUUAUUUAGUUGCUGUCGAAUAUCCUCCGGAAACCUCUCCAUAAACAAGGAGAAACGAACGCACACACAUUUUUGCUUAGAAGCCCGGGAUUAAGAUUAAGCACCGAAGCCGAAAGAAAAAAUGAAAAAUGCUUCCCCGCGUGUCGGUCGGGCGAUGGAUGCGCCAAGCAGCGUGAGCCCGGCUCACAGCCACGCGUAACACUAAGCGCAGCCCUGGGUCCUGCGCGCCUAAACCUCGGAUGCCCGAGAAAGAGCCGAAGAGAGCAGUCCCCGCGACAGAAACACUGCGGAUGCCAGGUCUUGAAAAUGCUAACUUCUGAGGCUAAGAACGAUUUUAAAGACAAAAAGAAAAGGCUGGUGAAGAGGCCUUCCGGUGCAGGGGCGCCUCUCCGCUGAUUUUGGAUGGGGAAGUAGGGAUUAUUCGUUUAAAUUCUAUCGCCAGCACCGAGUCGGACGGGCCGGGGAUGGAGAAGGGCAACCUCCACCUUUAGAAAAAUAAAAGAUCUCCAAGGCC